AUGUCAAAGCAACAUUUUCGAGGUUUUGUGCACACGCCCAAGCAAGAGGCUUCAACAUACACUUCCAGGGAUCAGGGCAUAGUGGCACACCCCCAAGUUGUCCAGAUAGAGAGGUGGCGCACGGAAGGUUCAAGUGCUGAUGGGUUGGGUGGAUGGAUCCUGCAGAAGAUGGAGGAGGGAGGGGUUGAUGGGGAAGAAAGGGUGGAGGAGGAGCGGGGAAGGGAGAAAAGUCUCCAGAGGUUUUGUGUUGUGUGUUCACACACACUGGGUUGCGUCGGUUACGAUUGGGAGAAAAGGGAAUCUGGCCAUGUGCACGAUCAGAUCGUUUCUUUCCUUUUUUGA
rnacentral:rRNA from 1 species